GCUCUAGUAUUCAUCCCAAUACAUAUGGGUUGAGGGGGAUUGGGGUGUAAAUUAAACUAAUUUACACCUCAACCCCUUUUAAUCCAUGUGUAUUCGGAUGAAUACUAGA
rnacentral:pre_miRNA from 1 species